AUCAAUAAGCGGAGGAAAAGAAACCAACAGGGAUUGCCUUAGUAACGGCGAGUGAAGCGGCAACAGCUCAAAUUUGAAAUCUGGCGUCCUUGGGCGUCCGAGUUGUAAUUUGCAGAGGGCGCUUUGGCGUUGGCAGCAGUCUAAGUUCCUUGGAACAGGACGUCGCAGAGGGUGAGAAUCCCGUAUGUGAUUGCGUGCCUUCGCCGUGUAAAGCCCCUUCAACGAGUCGUGUUGUUUGGGAAUGCAGCACUAAAUGGGAGGUAAAUUUCUUCUAAAGCUAAAUACUGGCCAGAGACCGAUAGCGCACAAGUAGAGUGAUCGAAAGAUGAAAAGCACUUUGGAAAGAGAGUCAAACAGCACGUGAAAUUGUUGAAAGGGAAGCGCUUGUAGCCAGACUUGCCUGCAGUUGCUCAUCCGGGCUCCUGCCCGGUGCACUCUUCUGCAGGCAGGCCAGCAUCAGUUUAGGCGGCUGGAGAAUGGCCUCUGUCAUGUACCUUCUCUCGGGAAGGCCUUAUAGGGGAGGCGUAAUACAGCCAGUCUGAACUGAGGUCCGCGCAUCUGCUAGGAUGCUGGCGUAAUGGCUAUAAGCGGCCCGUCUUGAAACACGGACCAAGGAGUCUAACAUCUAUGCGAGUGUUUGGGUGUCAAGCCCGAGCGCGCAAUGAAAGUGAACGGAGGUGGGACCCUUUUAGGUGCACCAUCGACCGAUCCUGAUGUCUUCGGAUGGAUUUGAGUAAGAGCAUAGCUGUUGGGACCCGAAAGAUGGUGAACUAUGCUUGAAUAGGGUGAAGCCAGAGGAAACUCUGGUGGAGGCUCGCAGCGGUUCUGACGUGCAAAUCGAUCGUCAAAUUUGGGCAUAGGGGCGAAAGACUAAUCGAACUAUCUAGUAGCUGGGUUCCU
rnacentral:rRNA from 1 species